rnacentral:rRNA from 1 species
UACAGAGGGUGCGAGCGUUAAUCGGAAUUACUGGGCGUAAAGCGCACGUAGUCGGCUUUGCAAGUCGGUUGUGAAAUCCCCGGGCUCAACCUGGGAACUGCAUCCGAGACUGCAUUGCUAGAGUAUGGGAGAGGGAAGCGGAAUUUCUGGUGUAGCAGUGAAAUGCGUAGAUAUCAGGAGGAACACCGGUGGCGAAGGCGGAUCUCUGGGCAGUAACUGACGCUGAGGAGCGAAAGCGUGGGGAGCGAACAGG